UUCUGUUUUAUGGUGGAUACCUAAGGUUUAUAUAAUAGUUGCUGGAAAACUUAAAGUAGCUGGUGAGCUUCCUGUUAUGUCACUAUUAAAGAAUGAUGGCUGAUGUAACUCUGCCCCUGAAAUCUACAAGGGUCAUGCCCAAAUUAAUACAGGUUAACCUUUGUAGAGGUAUAUAUGUUGGCAUUAUUUAUUGACAUUUAUGCUUCAAGCAUGUCUUAUUUUAUGUAAUUUUAAGAAAUACUCUAUUUAACUUGUGAAAUAUACCUAAAAGCAUACUAGUUAGCUCUUAGACUCUCACUUAGGGAGGGUAAAGAAACAUCACUGAUGCCAAUAUGAAGAUCUAUAAACAAAUCCUUUGUUUAGAACUUUUUUCUCUUCGUGCACCUCACAACACACUUACCAUGGUACAUAUUUCUUAAUGCCACUAAGAAAGGCAAGAUAGUGAACGCAGAAUUAUUUAUGUGGUAUAGUGUUUGUUUUCCUGUUUUAGUGCUUUUGUAGCUAAAACUUACUGGAACUGCAUCACAACUACAUUUGCAGUCUCAGUGGGAGGUGGACUAGCCUGUGGUUAAUUUUAGAGCUUAAAAGUUUAUAAGCAUUAAAAACACAUACAUGUAUUAGAAUCUUGUCUAACCCCUCACAAAGGAUGAUGGUGAUCAGCAUGCCAUCUUUUGAAGAUUAAUUCUAAAAUUGAGGACUCUGGUAGGUUGUUUUAUUUCCUUCCCAACCAGCCAUUCAUUUCCAAUUGUUCUGCCUUUGAAACUUUUUGUGAAAAUUGCCUGUACCAAUUGCAUUGGUUGCGUUGCUCUGAUUUAAAUGCCAAAAACACUAAAUAUUUGUGUAGUGCUGUUAAAUGAGGUUUUUGAUAUUUCCAUCAAAAUGAAUAUAAAAUUCACUUGAUGGAUUUUGUAGUGAUGUUUUCACAGUUGAAACAAACAUAUUGCUGUGCGGUGGACAGCCACUUCACAGACAUGCAGACCCAUUUCUUUAGAGAUAUUAGGUUUAAAACCCAUUUUAAUUUUAUUUUGCUGAAGGUUUGGAAUAUAUAAAGUAAUGGAUUCACAAAAUAUGAUAUCUUAAAACAUGUUGAAAGAUUUGAAAGUGGUGCAUUUUUACUUUUAAGAGCAGCAAUCUUUGAAAUUAGUCAACAAUGCAGUCUUUUUUAAAAGUCAGUUUUCUCAAGUAGUAUGUUGUAACGUAAGAUGUAACUGAUAUAACUAGAUUUUGACUGGUAAACUUAAAGUGCUUUUUAUAUUUGAGGUUGACUUUAAAAAGCCAUUGAGCAGUCCUCAGAGGUUAUGGACUCUCAAGCGACUAAUGGAAUAGUGUUCUGUUGUGAAGUCUAGAACUAAAGCACCUUGUAUUGUCUGCUUCUAAAGUGUCCUAUAGUUUUUAACUUAAAGUGUAAAGAGUAACAUUUUAUCUUAUGUCAAUUAAAGUUACAUUUUUCAUUUGUUGGUGUACAUGUGCUACCUGUUUUAUGGGGAAUGUUUAACACGAUCCUCCAAGUUGGUUCUAUGCAUAACCAUUCACCAAAUACUGCUGCUGUGAUUCCUUGAAGGAAAUAUUCUGUGGUCUGCUAUGAUGCAUUGCCAUCUUGCUGCUUGACAAUAGGUUUAUAAAUAAUUAGAAUUACGUGUUUUAAUAGUACCUUUGUAUAUAUAACAAGAUGUAAAAUUAAAGAUGAGGAAUGUGUGUAAAUGAUCAUUCACUGUUUUUGUUUUAAAACUGGUCAGUACUAUGAAGCUUCUGUGGUUUGUAUGAUGUUUUAACUUUCACUUUAAACUGCAUAGAAUAAAUUAAAUUGAAAACAACAAAA
rnacentral:lncRNA from 1 species